GAGGCCUCUUUGUUAGUUUUCCCUUUGCUACGUCAGUUAAUUCGAUCGAUCCUUCGUUGAGAGUCAGAGCCGAGGGAAUCUCAGUUGUAUCACCUAACCACAUUAUGGCUCAAGAGCAACAACCCCUUGCCUACCCACCACCCCAGGCAGGUGGCCCAGGUGCUCCACCAGGAGCUUACCCACCUGGAGCCGUUGGUGCCCCUCCUGGGGUCCCUGGUGCCCCUGGAGCUCCGGGACAGUGGAUGCAGGCUCCUGCUCCUCCUAGCAACUGCCCUCCAGGUCUAGAGUACCUGACCCAGAUUGACCAACUUCUUGUUCACCAGAAGACAGAACUCUUAGAAGCUUUCACUGGUUUUGAAACUGCUAACAAGUAUGAGAUCAAGAACACGGUCGGACAGCAAGUCUACUUUGCGGCAGAAGACAGCGAUUGCUGUACCAGAAAUUGCUGUGGAAAGAGCCGCUGUUUUGACAUGAAGAUUCUUGACAACACGCAACGAGAAGUGAUUCAUAUAGAGCGCCCUCUAAGGUGUACUACCUGCUGGUGUCCCUGCUGCCUCCAGACCAUCACCGUUAGCUCGCCACCAGGUACCGUGAUUGGCUACGUCAACCAAUCCUGGAGCAUCUGCUUUCCAAAGUUCGCCAUUCAGAAUGAGAACCACGAAACCAUUCUGCGCAUCGAUGGACCGCUCUGCCAGUGGAACUGCUGCGGAGAUGUUGAAUUUGAUGUGAUGUCUGCUGACGGUAGUUCAAAGGUUGGCAAGAUCUCCAAGCAAUGGACUGGAUUCAUCAAGGAAGCUUUCACCGAUGCGGAUAACUUUGGUGUUUCCUUCCCAAUGGACCUCGACGUCAGGAUGAAGGCUGUUACCCUGGCUGCUACCUUCCUCAUUGACUUCAUGUUCUUUGAGAAAUCGGGAGACAAGAAAGACCAGAAGAAGGCCGGAUUCACUUCUAUCUAAUCAUCAUCAUCAUUAUUAUCAUCCAUAUGUAGAUCAUACCAAUCAAAUUAAGGACUUCAUGUUCUUUGAACAGUCUGGUAA
rnacentral:misc_RNA from 1 species